rnacentral:rRNA from 1 species
AUUGAACGCUGGCGGCAGGCCUAACACAUGCAAGUCGAACGAGUGGCGGACGGGUGAGUAAUGUCUGGGAAACUGCCAGAUGGCGGGGGAUAACUACUGGAAACGGUAGCUAAUACCGCAUACCAUCGGAUGUGCCCAGAUGGGAUUAGCUAGUAGGUGGGGUAACGGCGCACCUGGGCGACGAUCCCUAGCUGGUCUGAGAGGAUGACCAGCCACUCGGGAAGUGAGACACGCUCCAGAUCCCUAGGGGAGGCAGCAGUGGGGAAUAUUGCACAAUGGGCGCAAGCCUGAUGCAGCCAUGCCGCGUGUAUGAAGAAGGCCUCCGGUUUGUAAAGUACUUUCAGCGAGGAGGCGUUACUCGCAGAAGAAGCACCGGCUAACUCCGUGCCAGCAGCCGCGUAAUUC